UGGGGAAUUUUGGACAAUGGGCGAAAGCCUGAUCCAGCAAUGCCGCGUGUGUGAAGAAGGCCUUCGGGUUGUAAAGCACUUUUGUCCGGAAAGAAAUCCUUGGCUCUAAUACAGUCGGGGGAUGACGGUACCGGAAGAAUAAGCACCGGCUAACUACGUGCCAGCAGCCGCGGUAAUACGUAGGGUGCAAGCGUUAAUCGGAAUUACUGGGCGUAAAGCGUGCGCAGGCGGUUGCUAAGACCGAUGUGAAAUCCCCGGGCUCAACCUGGGAACUGCAUUGGUGACUGGCAGGCUAGAGUAUGGCAGAGGGGGGUAGAAUUCCACGUGUAGCAGUGAAAUGCGUAGAGAUGUGGAGGAAUACCGAUGGCGAAGGCAGCCCCCUGGGCCAAUACUGACGCUCAUGCACGAAAGCGUGGGGAGCAAACAGGAUUAGAUACCCUGGUAGUCCACGCCCUAAACGAUGUCAACUAGUUGUUGGGGAUUCAUUCCUUAGUAACGUAGCUAACGCGUGAAGUUGACCGCCUGGGGAGUACGGUCGCAAGAUUAAAACUUAAAUGAAUUGACGGGGUCAUAGCUGUUUCCU
rnacentral:rRNA from 1 species